rnacentral:tRNA from 1 species
GGGAGUGUAGCUCGGUGGUAGAGCAUUUGCCUAGUAUGCAUGAGGCCCUGGAUUUGAUCUCCAGCACUGCAC